CAUAUUUAAUAAUUUAGAUAUUUAGAAGAUUUGAUUAAGAUUUAGAAUUAUGAUUCUCCUAUCAUCUUUGUUUGAUUUGUUUUUAACUGUUUUGAAUCAUCAUAUAAUACAUAAAGUAAAAAAAAAAUCAUUUUUUUUUCUGCAUAUACUAUGAUUCGAAAUUUUAAAAACGGACAUAUAUUAUCCAAUUGACGAAAAUGUGUGUUCAACGUUCUACAUCGAUUAAAAUAUU
rnacentral:lncRNA from 1 species